rnacentral:rRNA from 1 species
AGGACGAACGCUGGCGGCGUGCUUAACACAUGCAAGUCGAGCGGUAAGGCUCCUUCGGGAGUACACGGAGCGGCGAACGGGUGAGUAACACGUGAGCAAUCUGCCCUUCACAUCGGAAUAACCUCGGGAAACCGAGGCUAAUACCGGAUACGACCAUCGGUGGCAUCA